GUUCCAGACUCCUACGGGAGGCAGCAGUGAGGAAUAUUGGUCAAUGGCCGUAAGGCUGAACCAGCCAAGUCGCGUGAGGGAUGACGGCCCUACGGGUUGUAAACCUCUUUUGUCGGGGAGCAAAGAGAGUCACGUGUGGCUCAUUGAGAGUACCCGAAGAAAAAGCAUCGGCUAACUCCGUGCCAGCAGCCGCGGUAAUACGGAGGAUGCGAGCGUUAUCCGGAUUUAUUGGGUUUAAAGGGUGCGCAGGCGGAGGUGCAAGUCAGUGGUCAAAUUGCGGGGCUCAACCCCGUACUGCCGUUGAAACUGCAUCCCUUGAGUGCGCGAGAAGUAUGCGGAAUGCGUGGUGUAGCGGUGAAAUGCAUAGAUAUCACGCAGAACUCCGAUUGCGAAGGCAGCAUACCGGCGCUCAACUGACGCUGAAGCACGAAGGCGUGGGUAUCGAACAGGAUUAGAUACCCCGGUAU
rnacentral:rRNA from 1 species